UACGGAGGUGGCAGCGUUGCUCGGAAUCACUGGGCGUAAAGGGCGCGUAGGCGGGGAGGUAAGUCGGGUGUGAAAUCUCCCGGCUCAACUGGGAGGGUGCGCCGAAUACUGAGGGACUAGAGUGCGGGAGAGGAAAGUGGAAUUCCUGGUGUAGCGGUGAAAUGCGUAGAUAUCAGGAGGAACACCGGUGGUGUAGACGGCUUCUGGACCGUAACUGACGCUGAGACACGAAAGCGUGGGUAGCAAACAGG
rnacentral:rRNA from 1 species